rnacentral:lncRNA from 1 species
CCAUCAACCCCAGCCUGAAUCAGAUUCUCAGCCUGGUACAUAGUCACAACAUUCCCCCCAAUCACAUCAAGCUCAGGGUAAACCCUCUUCACAUACUUCACCAUCUCUAACUGAUAAAUUGAGUUCCCCUGAGAACUAUCCAACACUACAACAUUCAACCCAGCCUUCACCAAAUGCUCCAACCUCUCCUUAUCAUCUUCCCUCGUCCCCACCGCGGCCCCCACCAUAAACUCCCCGUCCGCCCCCACCGUCGCCGGCGCCACCAGUUUCGGGUAACCCUUCACCCUCUCCACCUCCUCCCUCACCACCAAAUCAACAACCUCACCAUCCUUCUCCAAAGCCACAGCACCACUUUUCUCACUCUCAAAUAUUUCAUUAAUUUUG